rnacentral:lncRNA from 1 species
GAUUUUUAAAUAUUGCGGUCUUACGCGAUAAGGAAAAAUAAUUUCAAAUAGUUUUUCUCUCACUUCUAGGCUUUACUUGGAAAAGUGGUUGUUAAAGGACAUGUGUAUCCAAUAAUGAAUCCAUACUGUCUGUUUGGAAGUGCUGACGGCUGUGAUAUAAUAGUUAAAGACACGAUUCCGACGCAUUUUCAAAUAGAGUUUAAUUCUGAGAAGCAGGCAUUCCUCAGAUGUUUCAAACCAGUUACUCUCGAUGGACAAGUCGUCAGCGG